rnacentral:rRNA from 1 species
ACGCUGGCGGCGUGCUUAAUACAUGCAAGUCAACGACUUUUAGAGUAGCAAUAUUCUAAAGGAAGUGGCGCACGGGUGAGUAACACGUAGGUAAUCUGCCUUCAGGACUGACACAACUCGUCGAAAGACGGGCUAAUAUCAGAUAAUGCAGCGGCUCCGCAUGGAGACAGUUGUUAAAGUACAAGCGCCUGAAGAUGAGCCUGCGGUCCAUUAGCUAGUUGGUAGAGUAACAGCCUACCAAGGCAACGAUGGAUAGCUGGUCUGAGAGGAUGAUCAGCCACACUGGAACUGAGACACGGUCCAGACUCCUACGGGAGGCAGCAGUAAGGAAUAUUGCUCAAUGGCCGAAAGGCUGAAGCAGCAACGCCGCGUGAAGGAUGAAUGGCCUUUGGCCUGUAAACUUCUGUAAAAGGGAAAACAAUCAGGCAUGUCCUGAUUUGAUUGUACCUUUGAAGUAAGCCCCGGCUAACUACGUG